ACAAUAGGGAAUUUAUUAUCUCACAUAUCAGGAAUUCCAGGGGGCAGGGCGGAUCCAAAGCUUGUUGAAUUAGCCAUUCAACAAUGGCAUUCAGGAAGAGUGUCUAUGUCUCUGCUCUGCCAUCGCCGGUUGGAUUCUUUCUCGGGCUGGCGACAAGAUGGUGGGAGCAGUUGCGAGCAUAAUAUCCAGGAAGAGAGCUGUUAUUAUGACGUCAUCUAGAAAAAUCCCAAAGCAGCCAAUCGAGUCAAGCUGAUGCUUCCAGCCCCCCGCCCCAGAGGCGCUCCCUUCGCACUCCCCAUCCUGAGCGACACAGCAUCACAUGGCAGCGGGAGUGAAGCCAAGAACUAGACGGGCACUUGAUUCAGCACAGUGGCUCCGGCUGCCAAGUAGGCUUUUGGAAAAUGUCUUGCUCCCCCCCACCGCCUCCCUGCCUCCUGGAGCAUAUUUUGGACGCCUACUUGUCAUAUUGCAAAAUGUAUGUGACAAAACAAUCUGGGAUCUCGCUGACAAUUAUUCCCUUCAUGCCGCGCCUCGGAGUCUCUUGGCCGAGGGUGCGUGCCAGCCUCAGGGGCCCUGGCACGAAGGCUAGGCGAGGAAGAAGCCCUGCCCAGCAGGAGGGGCUGGAGGGGCUGGGGCGAGAGCAGGGACCCACGUUACUCCAGAUGGGUCUCUUCCGUUGUGACCCAGCUCAGGCACGUCACAGAAGUUUGCCCUCCUUCUGUGGGCGACAGAGCGAAGCGAGACCAAGAGAAACAACAGACAACGGCAACAGUAGACAUUUAUUACCCCCUUUAUUACUCUCCUAAGGGUGCUGUAACCGAUCACCCCAAAGUGGGUGGCUUAACACAAUAGAAACUUAUCCUCUCACAGUUCUGGAGGCAGGGGUUUGAAAUCAAGGAGCUGGCAGAACCACGUUCCCCUCCGAAGGUUCUAGGGGAGAAUCUUCCUUGUGCCUUCCGGCUGCUAGCGGCCCCAGACGUUCCGCGGCUUGGGGCUGCGUCACUUCGACCUGCCUCUGAUUCCACAGCGUUUUCUCCUCGGUGUACCUUCUGCCCUUCUCUUUUCUUAGAAGGACACCUGCUCUUGGGUUGAGCCCCCACCCUAGUCCAGGAUGAUCUCAUCUUGAAAGCCUUCAUGACGUUUGCAGUAACCCCCUUUCCAAAUAGCACUGUAUUCCUACCGUCUGGGUAGAGGUGUCUUUGGCCGGGCCACCAUUCCAACCGCUGCACGGCCCUUUCUGGGUGGCAGGUGCCGGACGAAGGAUGUAGGACCUAACCACUCCCAUGACAGCCUUAGGAGCCUGCCCCGUUUUCAGCCCCAUGUUCAGAUGAGGAGCCCGAGCUGUCUCACACACUAUUCGUGACGAUCCUUUGUUCUUCACUCCGCCCUAUGCAACCGAGACUAUUUGUGACUGUCGUUUUACAGACGGAGAUCGAGCUGAGGCUUAGAUUUUGUAACUUGCCCGGCCGCUAGUGGAAGGGCUGUUCCGUACUGUAGCUUUGAUUUUUCUCAGACGAACUGGAUGGAGAGAAAUAACUCGUAUUCCUUCUGCCAGGCUAUCUCAGAAAGUAUUUGCUGGAUGGAUAGCCACUUGAAGAUGAAGCGUGUCUCAAGGAGCUCAGGGAUUUCUCCUUCCUCUCGCUUCCUGCCGGGAAGAGGUGCGAAUACGGUUGCCAAAAUCCCCACGAGGCCCAGAGGGGCAGGGGGCAGAAGAUCCCCAACUGGCUGGCCUGCGUCCUCUCCUCCUUGCCGAAAACUGCAGCAACUGUGUGAUGCUCGAGGCUGGCGGGAGCCGCCCAGCGCAGAGCUGUGAAUUUGCCCAGGGCCAGAAAUGGCUUUCACCCUGGGGAGGCCCAGCACUGUCAUCCAGGGCUACUUUGGGAAGACAAACCCAGUGAGUCUGCACUGGUCCCGGGAAUGCUGGAAUGGGAUUCGUUGGUCACUUGCAGCGCAUCAUGCUCUGAGAUGGGUCCUUUAUGCAGACGUGAUCCCGUCUGGUCCUCAGAUACUAUUGUCUCUACUCAGGGCCGCUUCUAAGGUGUGUAGGGUGGGGGCCAAGAGGGCUAACGAGGCACCAAGCCCUGUGUUUAAAUGUGUGAAAGGAGACAGGUCACACACUGUGGGCGCCCCACCCACAUAUCUGGCUCAGUCCAACCCCCUUCCCCCAACAGCUGUCCCUGGGCCUUAAGGUGUGCCUGCUAAUGGAACGGUGUAUUCUCAGGAGAGGAACACCCUCCUACACUCUGGAGGCAGGCCCCGUGACAUUUGGGCAGGGGACUCUGGAGUCUUGUGUACCUGGAGUAUAGGGUGGGCACGUUCCCUCGGUCCCCCUGGCCCCCUGUCCACUGGGGAGGAUGUGUGUGGAGGCAGAGGAAGAAAUUGGGUCCCUCUAAAGUGCCAGGGCUCUUGUCUGGCUUUGGGUGCUCUGUCUCCAUUGUUUCACCCACAACUGAAUUAAACAAGAGUUAAUGUAUUCAC